UCAGAGAAUAGUUUAGUGUAAAAUACCAACUUUGGGAGUUGGAGAUAGAGGUUUAAGUCCUCUUUUUCUGAG
rnacentral:tRNA from 1 species